CCUACGCGGGGCAGCAGUGAGGAAUAUUGGUCAAUGGGCGAGAGCCUGAACCAGCCAAGUCGCGUGAGGGAGUACUGCCCUAUGGGUUGUAAACCUCUUUUGUCGGGGAGCAAAAGCCGGACGUGUCCGGCUGUGAGAGUACCCGAAGAAAAAGCAUCGGCUAACUCCGUGCCAGCAGCCGCGGUAAUACGGAGGAUGCGAGCGUUAUCCGGAUUUAUUGGGGUUAAAGGGUGCGCAGGCGGAUUUUUAAGUCAGCGGUCAAAUCGUGGGGCUCAACCCCAUCCAGCCGUUGAAACUGGGGAUCUAGAGUGUGCGAGAGGUAUGCGGAAUGCGUGGUGUAGCGGUGAAAUGCAUAGAUAUCACGCAGAACCCCGAUUGCGAAGGCAGCAUACCGGUGCACAACUGACGCUCAGGCACGAAAGCGUGGGUAUCGAACAGGAUUAGAUACCCUUGUAGUC
rnacentral:rRNA from 1 species